rnacentral:pre_miRNA from 2 species
UUACUACUCCCUUCGUCUCAAAAUUCUUGUCUUAAAAUUGUCUAGAUAUGAAUGUAUUUAGUCACAGUUUAGUAUUUAGAUACCUAGACAAACCUAAGACAAGAAUAAUGGGACGGAAGGAGUAUUAA